CGAGACUCUGUCUCAAUAAACAAAACAAAACAAAGAGCUUUAGAACAGUAAGGAAAGGAAGGAGAAGAAAAGUACAAUGUGGAAGAAGGCCAAGUGGUUGACCUGAGAAACCGAGUGCGCAGCUUGGCCUCUUGACUUGGGGUUUGAUACCUUGGCAUACUUCCAGGAUCUUGGAAGUAAGCUGCUUCCCACUCCGGAGAUCUUACUGGGAAGCUGCUGAUCAGUUGCAGGUGUUUUCUAUUAGGAGACUGCCUUUCCCCCGUACUGGCUGUGACCAAUUACUAAACAGAAACAGUUAACAACCACUUGACCACCACCUGAUGGUCACCCAGCACUCCUAGUGUGUGUGUGUGUGUGUGUGUGUGUGUGUGUGUGUGUGUGUGUGUGUGUGUGUGUUGGGGGGAAGUCCUUUCCUGCCCUGCUCAUACCUAACUAGCUACCUACUGUAAUAAAGCUACCAUUCAGGAACCAAGACAAAAAGGAAAAAAAUACAUUUAACAUUUACAGGUAAAUAAAAGCUGAGAAUGAGCCAAAGAAACUCCCGAAGGAUGUACCUCAAGAAGGAAGAUGAUUCCAGGUCAGCCUAAGAUGCAAGAAGAAGGAAUGAUACCUUAAAGCAAAUGAGAAGACAAGCUAAAUCUGGGAGGAGACAUAUACACAUAUACAUGCAUAAUCAGGAUUGGUAUCAAAAACCCCUAUGAACUAGCAAGAAAAGGAAAAAUGUGCAAAAAAGCCAUGAACCAGCAUUUCACCAAAGAUGAAACAGCUAUGGCCAAAAAUUAUGACAAGAUGCUUAAUUAAGCCCACUGGCUAUUAGGCACGUGGAAGUCAAGACCACAACGAGACAUCAUCUUUCACGCAUUUGAUGGGUAAACAUUAUGAUGUCUGACACUGCUAAAUGUUGGCGAGGACGUGGAUCAACAGGAACUCUCAAAAUUGCUGGCAAAGGAGGGGGCACUGUUUCUAAGAAGAGUGAUGAUACCACCGUAUUUUUGAAAAAUGAUGAAACAGCGUGGGGGAAACUGCUAUGUCUUCCAUAUUCAGGCUUUUUCUUCUCCAAGCCCAUUUCCUCCCUAGCAAUGAUAAGAGGAAACACUCCCGCUUCCCGCAGCCAAGCCAGGCUCUGGGGUGAUCAUUCCCAUAGCAACCACCAGGGGUCAGGGCUGGCCACUUCUGCCUUCUUCCCUCAUCCUAGCGCCUGUGGGUGGCGAUGACAUCCCUGCCAUCUAUGAGGUGGAGCAUUUCCAACAAGAGCAGGUCUGAGGCCCUGGCUUGACUUUCCCAGUCCUGUUAAAGAAGAACAUUGGGAUACCCAACUGUUCUAGCACCAUUUAUUGAAAAGUCAACUCUUCCUUCAAUAUUCAGAAAUGUCACCUCUGUCAUAAACCAGGCAGCCACAUGUGUAUUAGACUGCUGUGUCUUCGUUAUUUCUCCAGAGGUUUGCCAAUUUUACUAAUCUCUUCAAAGAUCCAAUUUUGAUUUUUGUUCAUUUUCUUAAUUGUAUGCUUACUAUUUUAUUAGCUUGUGCUUUGGUCUUCCGUAUACUUUUUUUGGGGGGGGGUUGAAUUUACUAUUCUUUUUCUAAGCUCUUUGAAAUGGAUGAUUAGCUCAUUAAUUUUAAGUCUUUACUCUUUUCUAUUAUAUGCUAUAUAUUUUCCUGUAAGUAUUAACUUUAGAAAAAUUUCCUACCAGCUUUGAUAUAUAUGAUAUUUUCAUUAUUAUUCACUUCAAAAUGUUUUUAGUUUUUAAUUGUAACUUCUCUGUGAUAUAAAGAAGUAUGACUUUAAAUUUUCCACAUUAUGGGGAUUUCCUAGUUUUUUUUUUAUUGAUUUUAGCUUAAUUAUAUUGUGGUCAGAUCAACAUUACAUGAAUUAGAAAUUUAUCAAGAUUUGUUUUAGGCUCAGAAUAUGAGCCAAAUUUGUAAAUGUUCUGCUUGAAACAUGUAUCUUACAACAAUUGUGUGCAGUAUUCUACAUAUGCUCAUUAAGUCUAGUUUAUUAACAGAGUUCUUCAAAUCUUUUAUACCCUUUUGUCUCGUUUUUAAAAUUAAACUGAAAACGGUGUCUUAAAAUCUUCUAUUAUGGCUGUUGAUUCUUCCAUAGUCCUAUUAAGUUUUGCUUAUAUAUUUUGAGAUUAUGUUGUAGGCACAAAUUUAAUAUUGUUAUGUCUUCCUAGGAACUUUUGCUAUCUUUUCCUCUGGUUUUUGCCUUAAAGUUUAUUUUGUCUUUCAUGAAUAUAAAUACUUACAUCUGCCUUUGUGUGUGUGUGUGUGUGUGUGUGUGUGUUUGUUAGAUUCAGGGAGUACAUGUACUUGUUUGCUACAUGGGUAUUACACGUGUAAUGGUGCAAUUGGGCCUCUGGUAUACCCAUCAUUCAAAUAUUGGACACUGUACCCCAUAGGUGAUUUUUCAACUUUCUCUUCACUAGUAUUUUUACCUUAUUACUUUAAACUUUAUUCUUAUGCUUUAAAUGUAUCUCUUCUUUUGUAAACACCAUAAUUCCCCUCCCCCCAUUCCAAAUCAAGUCUGAAAUUCUUUGCCUUUUAACAGGAGCAUUUAGUUCAUUUACAUUUAAUGUAUAUGUAAAUGUAAAUACAGUGUAUACUUUGUAAAUGUUUAGAAUUAAAUCUAUUACUUUAGCUUAUCUGCUUAUUCAUUCUAUUCUUUUUCUCUUCUGUCUGGACUUAAAAAAUGAUCUGCAUAUAUUUUAUCAUUUAAUUUUGUCCCUUAGCUUGUUUGAAAUGACAUACUGUUUCUAUUCCUUUAGUGCAGGGAUUAGAGACCUUUUCUCUGUAAAGGGCCAGAUAAUAUAUAUUUUAUGGUUUGUGGACCACAGUCAGUGGGUUUUUUUAGGGUCUGUGGGCCGAAGUCAGAUUUUUUAUAGCCAUUUAAAAAUCUAGAAACCAUCCUUAGCUUGCAGGCUAUAUAAAAACAGGCUGAAAUCUGUAUUUAGCCCAUGGGCCAUAGUGUGUAACCUCUUCUAGUGUUCACUCUAGAAAUUAUAACAUGCACACUUAACUUAUCAAAGCCUACAAUUAAUGAAAACCUUUACCCCUCUGGACAACACAUUGAUAUUAGAACAUUUUGAGUCUAUUGCCUUCCUAACCCCAAUUCCUAUGUUAUGUUGUCUGGUAUUUACAUUU
rnacentral:lncRNA from 1 species